AUACGCGUUGCGUACAACUUAAGCUCACCGCCAAACUAUCGAGUUCUAUCGAUUGACAUACUCUGUACAGAAUGUAAGGUACCUGUCUAUCAGCCAUUGGAAGACUGCACCAUUUACAAAAUCGUCACAACUGAUUUUGUGGUCAGAGGCGGAGACGGAUUUCAGAAGGCGACGAACGCUACUGAUUCAGGUCCUGUGGAUUUCGAAGUUCUUAAAGAUUACAUCAAGAAAAUGUCUCCAAUAAAGACCCCCUUAGAAGGCCGUAUCACGAUAUACGGGAAUGUAACCACGAGUAAUGCGACAGUUGCGAAGACCAGCUGAGUAUCCAGUGUCACGCGCCCGACAAGAUGAUGAAGGUGCAGCGAAAAGGAACAACGGAUGUAUCACUCAUCUUUGUGAAUAAACCACGCGGGUUCA